UACGGAGGGUGCAAGCGUUAUCCGGAUUCACUGGGUUUAAAGGGUGCGUAGGUGGGUUGGUAAGUCAGUGGUGAAAUCUCCAGGCUUAACUUGGAAACUGCCAUUGAUACUAUCAAUCUUGAAUACCGUGGAGGUCAGCGGAAUAUGUCAUGUAGCGGUGAAAUGCUUAGAUAUGACAUAGAACACCAAUUGCGAAGGCAGCUGGCUACACGAAUAUUGACACUGAUGCACGAAAGCGUAGGGAUCAAAACAGG
rnacentral:rRNA from 1 species